CGCCGCCCGCCCUCGAUGUGAUCGACGCCGACGAGGUUCCGUCAUCGACAUAUAUCUCGACAAGGUACUAGGUGAGAGGAACGUUCCCAUCAGGCCAAACAGCGAGAGGAACAAUUCCAUCAGGCUAAAUGUCAAGCAGCAGCCAUGCCUGACGCAUACGACAUCAUGCCUUGCCGAGUGGUACUGUCGAUUCAACUCGGAUGCAGCAGUACACACGUACUCUCCUCUUUCUGAUCAGGAAUGCGGUGAAGGCAGGUGCUCUAAUAAGGUGAAAGAAAUACGAAAGGGAGAAGUCAAAGCUUGUGAAGAAAUGUAGCACUUCCAAGUUGUUGGCCGAUGAUGAUGAUGAUAAGAUUGACAACCACAUGACGAGCUCGCCGAGUGCAUCCUCUAAGGGUACGAAGCGUUUUCGGAGGAAGACUGAAGACCAAGAGGAUGGGAAUGAUGAUGGAAACAAUAGCAAAUAUUUACGAGAGGAGUCCAAAGGAGAACACAAUAAAUGGAUAAUGAAGGCGGUGUGGACACUCUUGAUGUAUGCCAUUCUUUCUUGGAUCUGAUCUUUUUUAUACAUAAAAACACAUAGGUAUGGAAUAGUCAAUUAAAAUGUACAACAUCGCCUUGCCCAAAAAACAAGUUUUGAUGCGUCUUAUUUUAGGUCAACAUCAAGUGUAUUUUUGUUAAUUUAGAUAUUGUUGCUUGGAUUGGGGAGAUGGACAGGCUAAGAUAGUGAGUGUAGGAAGAAGACUGGUGUAAUGAAAAGUUGACAAUGCAUCUGAUAUGCAUGAGGAUAUAAUCAAUGUUAAACCACUA